rnacentral:rRNA from 1 species
UACGUAGGGUGCAAGCGUUGUCCGGAAUUAUUGGGCGUAAAGAGCUCGUAGGCGGUUUGUCGCGUCGGGAGUGAAAUCCACUGGCUUAACUGGUGGCUUGCUUUCGAUACGGGCAGACUGGAGGUAUGCAGGGGAGAACGGAAUUCCUGGUGUAGCGGUGAAAUGCGCAGAUAUCAGGAGGAACACCGGUGGCGAAGGCGGCGACCUGGGUGGAUACUGACGCUGAGGCGCGAAAGCGUGGGGAGCAAACAGG